AGACAAUAAAAUGACAGGGAGCGCCAGAUAUUGUGGGAGAUUUUGGAGUCGUGUUCUGAUUGAUUGAGUAAGGCUUCUUCUAUGCGAUUAAGCGGCAUUUGGGCAAAGACUGAGGAAGAGGAGGGAGCAAACUAUCUCUGUGUGUAAGAGUGCCUGAAGCAAGAAGGCCGAUACAGCUGGAGAUGGGGACAGGCGUGGAUGAUGGAGAGCCAUUUUAAUGACUUUUGUUUUUACCACAAGCGGUACUGUGGACUACAGAGGGCGAGGUCAGAAACAAAACAUGACGCGAUUGAAAAGAUUGUUAACACUGGCUGCUGUGUUAAGGAAGAACAAUAGGAAGCUUGAGGAAGCUUGAGGAAGCUGAUGCGAGAAUAACACAAGUCGUAGUAGAAGGGGCUUGAGGCAGAGGCACCAAGGCUGAAGACUCUAAGGAUCAGAAAUAAUUCAUAAAGCACUCUGAACAGAGAUGGAGUUACCUUGAGGUGCCAAGCUUGGAUAGAAGCAGAGCUGCAGUCACCUGGGCAGUAUGAUUCAAAGAGCAUGAAAAUGCCUCUACAUGUUAAGAACCAACAGCAAUCACACAGACGUGAAACGGCCUCCUUCCUGAUGAGGAGCUCAACCAGAAGAGAUGAACUCUGUGCUGGGCAAGGAAGGCCUCUCAUCUUGCUCUACUGAAAUGCAAUGAACUUUAAACCAUCUCGGUUACCUGCUUCUGAACAUGGUAAGCUUCACGAUGAGAGUGAAGUUUGCCUGGUGGCAUGCAGAAUUCUUUAACAAGUAUUUGUGGAAAGUAGAAGAAAGAAGAUGAGGAAUAAGAGGAAGAAGGAGAAGAAGAGAGAAAAGGAAAAAGAAAGAAGUGCGGUACAACUGUUGUGAAGCCAUCUGAACAUGAGAAGUUGUUUUUAGUUGGAAGGCUUUCCAAUCUCCUCAUUUGUUAGAGACUCCUCUUGAUUUAACUUUUGGUUAGAAUGAAAUAAUUAAGGAAGAGAGGCCAUGACUCGCAGGAAGGACUCCAGAGAACUUGGAAGGGAGAGAGGAGGGGAUGGAAAUGAUUUAAAUAUAGUAUUCAUGUGAAACUAUCAAAAUAUUAAAUUUAAAGUAUAAUAAAAUAAAUCUUUAAAAUAAGAAGCAUAAUAAAAUCUCUGUGAUAUUA